UAGGUGUUGAAGAAAAUUAAC
rnacentral:piRNA from 1 species